rnacentral:lncRNA from 1 species
CUUGUGUAAUGAAGUUUCUGUUUGUCAUAUCUCCUUAGUACACGGAUGUCCCACUCACACUUUCAUUUUCUGUGUUCAGUGUUCGACCUUGUUUUCAUGGUUCAGUGACGGCUUUGGAAAAAUGUAAUUACCGGUAAUUUUUCUUGUAAAAUACUUGUGUACCGGUAUGAGCAUAGGAUAACUAUUUGAUAUAUUGGAUCCUUGCAAGGUCUACAUGUCUUGCCUAAGUUGACCUCAUUUCAUUGAUCAGUGAUCAUAAGUUAAUUUUUC